CCUACGGGUGGCAGCAGUGGGGAAUAUUGCGCAAUGGGCGCAAGCCUGACGCAGCGACGCCGCGUGAGGGAUGAAGGUCUUCGGAUCGUAAACCUCUGUCAGCAGGGAAGAACGGUCACUGUGCUAAUCAGCAGUGAAUUGACGGUACCUGCAAAGGAAGCACCGGCUAACUCCUUGCCAGCAGCCGCGGUAAUACGGAGGGUGCGAGCGUUAAUCGGAAUUACUGGGCGUAAAGCGCUCGUAGGCGGUAUGUCAAGUCAAGGGUGAAAUCCCCGGGCUCAACGUGGGAACUGCCUGUGAGACUGGCAAACUGGAGUGUGUGAGAGGAUAGUGGAAUUACAGGGGGAGGAGUGAAAUGCGUAGAGAUCUGGAGGAACAGCAGUGGCGAAGGCGACUAUCUGGCACAUGACGGACGCUGAGGAGCGAAAGCGUGGGGAGCAAACAGGAUUAGAUACCCUAGUAGUC
rnacentral:rRNA from 1 species